UGGGGAAUCUUGCGCAAUGGGCGAAAGCCUGACGCAGCGACGCCGCGUGAGUGAUGAAGGCCUUCGGGUUGUAAAGCUCUGUGGGGAGAGAAGAAUAAGUGCGGGCUAAUACCCCGCAUGAUGACGGUAUCUCCUUAGCAAGCACCGGCUAACUCUGUGCCAGCAGCCGCGGUAAGACAGAGGGUGCAAACGUUGUUCGGAAUUACUGGGCGUAAAGCGAGUGUAGGCGGUUUGGUAAGUCGGAUGUGAAAGCCCCGGGCUCAACCCGGGAAGUGCAUUCGAUACUGCCAAGCUAGAGUAUCGGAGAGGUUGGUGGAAUUCUCGGUGUAGAGGUGAAAUUCGUAGAUAUCGAGAGGAACACCGGUGGCGAAGGCGGCCAACUGGACGAAUACUGACGCUGAGACUCGAAAGCGUGGGGAGCAAACAGGAUUAGAUACCCACGUAGUCCCUGAGCGGGCUGGCAAGGCGCAU
rnacentral:rRNA from 1 species